GUCGAACGGCAGCACGAAAGAGCUUGCUCUUUUGGUGGCGAGUGGCGAACGGGUGAGUAAUGCAUCGGAACGUACCGAGUAAUGGGGGAUAACUAUCCGAAAGGAUAGCUAAUACCGCAUACGCUUUGAGAAGGAAAGUGGGGGCUCUUCGGACCUCACGUUAUUCGAGCGGCCGAUGUCUGAUUAGCUAGUUGGUGGGGUAAAGGCCUACCAAGGCGACGAUCAGUAGCGGGUCUGAGAGGAUGAUCCGCCACACUGGGACUGAGACACGGCCCAGACUCCUACGGGAGGCAGCAGUGGGGAAUUUUGGACAAUGGGCGCAAGCCUGAUCCAGCCAUGCCGCGUGUCUGAAGAAGGCCUUCGGGUUGUAAAGGACUUUUGUUAGGGAAGAAAAGGAUAGUGUUAAUACCAUUAUCUGCUGACGGUACCUAAAGAAUAAGCACCGGCUAACUACGUGCCAGCAGCCGCGGUAAUACGUAGGGUGCGAGCGUUAAUCGGAAUUACUGGGCGUAAAGCGAGCGCAGACGGUUUAUU
rnacentral:rRNA from 1 species